UGUCAGACAGCUGAACAGGAAGGAUUACCACGGAGGACCAUAUAGAUCUCAAAAGGACCAAAUUGGGAAUCUAAUCUUCUUCUGUAAAAGCUGAGACUUAUAAUUUAAUUAUUCACAAAAUAAAGGUCGUGAUUAUUGACUACUACACAGGGUGAUAACCAUUUGGAAAGAACCGCAUAGCAUCCCAAAUAUCCAUGAACAUCAAAGAUGUUAUACCCCAGAUGAAGUCUUUGAUGAUGAAACGCGUUGGUUGUUUUAUGGAUUGAUCACUCAGAUCCAAUAAUAAAAGGAUACGACUGGUUUUAACUUAUA